rnacentral:rRNA from 1 species
UACGAAGGGGACUAGCGUUGUUCGGAAUCACUGGGCGUAAAGCGCACGUAGGCGGAUGUGUCAGUCAGGGGUGAAAUCCCGGGGCUCAACUCCAGAACUGCCUUUGAUACUGGGAAGCUUGAGUCCGGGAGAGGUGAGUGGAACUCCGAGUGUAGAGGUGAAAUUCGUAGAUAUUCGGAAGAACACCAGUGGCGAAGGCGGCUCACUGGCCCGGUACUGACGCUGAGGUGCGAAAGCGUGGGGAGCAAACAGG